GUGAGAUAGGAAUGUUGAAAGGU
rnacentral:piRNA from 1 species